rnacentral:rRNA from 1 species
ACGGCAGCGCGGGGCAACCUGGCGGCGAGUGGCGAACGGGUGAGUAAUAUAUCGGAACGUACCCUGGAGUGGGGGAUAACGUAGCGAAAGUUACGCUAAUACCGCAUACGAUCCAAGGAUGAAAGCAGGGGACCGCAAGGCCUUGUGCUCCUGGAGCGGCCGAUAUCUGAUUAGCUAGUUGGUGGGGUAAAGGCCCACCAAGGCAUCGAUCAGUAGCUGGUCUGAGAGGACGACCAGCCACACUGGAACUGAGACACGGUCCAGACUCCUACGGGAGGCAGCAGUGGGGAAUUUUGGACAAUGGGCGCAAGCCUGAUCCAGCAAUGCCGCGUGAGUGAAGAAGGCCUUCGGGUUGUAAAGCUCUUUUGUCAGGGAAGAAACGGUGGAGGCUAAUAUCCUUUGCUAAUGACGGUACCUGAAGAAUAAGCACCGGCUAACUACGUGCCAGCAGCCGCGGUAAUACGUAGGGUGCAAGCGUUAAUCGGAAUUACUGGGCGUAAAGCGUGCGCAGGCGGUUUUGUAAGUUUGUCGUGAAAUCCCCGGGCUCAACCUG